rnacentral:rRNA from 1 species
UACGGAGGGUGCAAGCGUUAUCCGGAUUCACUGGGUUUAAAGGGUGCGUAGGCGGACAGGUAAGUCAGUGGUGAAAUCUCUGGGCUUAACCCAGAAACUGCCGUUGAUACUAUUUGUCUUGAAUAUCCUGGAGGUAGGCGGAAUAUGUCAUGUAGCGGUGAAAUGCUUAGAUAUGACAUAGAACACCAAUUGCGAAGGCAGCUCGCUACACAUAUAUUGACUCUGAGGCACGAAAGCGUGGGGAUCAAACAGG